CACACAGGAAGUCUGUGGCCAAGCUGGAAAUCAAGCCCAUCACUCCCGGCUCUGGGGCUGUGGCCCCGCUGCAGGCUCGGGGCCAUCCUGGGACCCGUCCCCAGGCAGACAGCGAGGGAAAGCCCAGAAAUGCUGUGUGCAUUGAGAAAGGACCAGAAGGAACAGCUCGCAUUCCUUUCCCAGCCCAGAAGUUCCCAACCCUCAGGGACUCAACGUAACCAAGUCCUGGAGCCACUUCUGCAGAACAUAUAUUGGUGGGAGCUGGGAGAAGACGCUUCCCUGAGCCACAGUUUGAAGGUGUCCCUGGGGACAAUUUCUGCUGUUCACAGGUUACCAACGAUCGGCAGAGCAGGAGUAAUUCACCUGCGUGGGGAACCUGCGUUUGACCUGCUGAGUAGUAAGAAAAUACCUACAUCAAAAACCUUUUAUUUUUUUCAGGAUAAAAUUCAGAGUUGAAGCCCCCCUCCCCACUCUGCAGAACUUUGGUGAACAAAUGCAAAAUCUGAG
ensembl:lncRNA